CCUGGUUGAUCCUGCCAGUAGCAUAUGCUUGUCUCAAAGAUAAGCCAUAUGUGUCUAAUACACACGGUCCGGUUACAGUACACUGCGAUGGCUCAUUAAUCAGCUAUGGGUUUCUUUGAUCGCUCCAAGUCUACUUGGAUAACUGUGGCAAUUCUAGAGCUAAAAAUGCAAACGAGCGCUGACCUUCGGGGAUGCGUGCAUUUAUCAGACCAAAAACACUCCGGGGGGUUCAAGCCCCCGGCCGCUUUGUUGACUCUAGAUAACCUCGGGCCGAUCGCACCGCCCCCCGGGGGCGCAACGAACUCAUUUCGAAUUGUCUCCCCAUCAACCUUUAGAUGGUACUUUCUGUGGCCUACCAUGGUGACCACGGGUAAUGGGGAAAUCAGGGGUUCGAUUCCGGAGAGGGAGCCUGAAAACGGCCUACCACAUCUAAGGAAGGCAGCAGGCGCGCAAAUUACCCACUCCGACUCGGUGAGGUAGGUGACGAAAAAUAACAAUACAGGACUCUUUCGAGGCCUGUUAUUGGAAUGAGUACACUUUAAUUCCUUUAACGAAGGAUCCAUAUUGGAGGGCAAGUCUGGUGCCAGCAGCUCGGUAAUUCCAGCUCCAAUAGCGUAUAUUAAAGUUGCUUGGCAUUAAAAAUGCUCGUAGUGGAUCUUGGAGCGAGCUGGCGGUCCGCCGCGAGGCGAGCUACCGCCUGUCCCAGCCCCUGCCUCUCGGCGCCCCCUCAGCUCUUUUAGCUGAUGUCCCCGGGGGGUCCGAAGCGUUUACUUUUAAAAAUUAGAGUGUUCAAAGCAGGCCCGGUUCCGCCUGAAUAUUCUCCAGCUAGGGAAUAAUGAAUAUGGGAUCCGGUUCUAUUUUGUGGGUUUCCUGAACUUUCUAUUUUGUGGGUUUCCUGAACGGGGCCAUGAUUAAGAGGGCGGCCGGGGGCAUUCGUUUGUGCCGCUAGAAGGUGAAUUCUUUGGACCGGCGCAUGAGGAAAAAGAGCUAAAGCAUUUGCCAAGAAAUGUUUUCAUUAAUCAAAGAAAUGAAGGUCGGAGGUUCGAAGACGGAUCAGAUUACCCGUCGUAGUUCCCGACCAUAAACGAUGCCGACUAGCGAUCCGGCGGCGUAUCCCAUGACCCGGCCGGGCACCCCCGGCGAAACCAAAGUUUUGGGUCCGGGGGGGGUAAUGGUUGGCAAAAGCUGAAACUUAAAGUAAUUUGACGGAAGGGCACCACCAGGAGUGGAGCCUGCGGCUUAAUUUACCGAGUGGAGCCUGCGGCUUAAUUUGAGCCAACACGGGAAACCUCACCGGGUCCGGAACACAAAGGUUUACAGAUUGAUAGCUCUUUUUCGCGAUUCUGUGGGUUGGUGGUGCAUGGCCGGUUCUUAGUUGGUGGAGCGAUUUGUCUGGUUAAUUCCGAUACGAACGAGAACUCCGGGCAUGCUAAAUAGUUCCGCGGCCCCGUGCGGUCGGCGGCCGUUCUUAGUUGGUGGAGUGAUUUGUCUGCUUAAUUGCGAUAACGAACGAGACCUUAACCUGCUAAAUAGCCAGGCCCGCUUUGGCGGGUCGCCGGCUUCUUAGAGGGACUAUCGGCUCAAGCCGAUGGAAGUUUGACCUUUUCUUAGAGGGACAAGGGGCUUUCAGCCACAACGAGAUUGAGCAAUAACAGGUCUGUGAUGCCCUUAGAUGUCCGGGGCUUGCACGCGCGCCACACUGAAUUGAUCACAGCCGUGUGUGCUACCCUCCCUACAGGCGCGGGUAACCCCUGAAUCCCAUCGUGAUGGGGGGAUCGGGGAUUGGCAAUUAUUUCCCAUGAACGAGGAAUUCCCAGUUAUUUCCCAUGAACCGAGGAAUUCCCAGUUAAGCGCGGGUCAUAGCUCGCGUUGAUUAAGCCCCUGCCCUUUGGUACACACCCGCCCGUCGCUACUAACCGAUUGGAUGGUUUAGUGAGGUCCUCGGAUCGGCCCCGCCGGGGUCCUUCCCGCCCUGGCGGAGCGCCGAGAAGACGAUCAAACUUGACUAUCUAGAGGAAGUAAAAGUCGUAACAAGGUUUCCGUAGGUGAACCUGCGGAAG
rnacentral:rRNA from 1 species